CUGAGAUUCGAGCGGCGGACGGGUGAGUAACACGUAGGCAACCUACCCUUGAGAUUGGGAUAACUACCGGAAACGGUAGCUAAUACCGGAUACGACAUUCCUGCAUAAGUAAGAAUGUUAAAAGGCGGAUUUAUCUGCCGCUCAUGGAUGGGCCUGCGGUGCAUUAGCUAGUUGGUGAGAUAGUAGCUCACCAAGGCGACGAUGCAUAGCCGACCUGAGAGGGUGAUCGGCCACACUGGGACUGAGACACGGCCCAGACUCCUACGGGAGGCAGCAGUAGGGAAUCUUCCGCAAUGGACGCAAGUCUGACGGAGCAACGCCGCGUGAGUGAUGAAGGGUUUCGGCUCGUAAAACUCUGUUGUUAAGGAAGAACACUUGAGGUAGUAACUGGCCUUGAGAUGACGGUACUUAACCAGAAAGCCACGGCUAACUACGUGCCAGCAGCCGCGGUAAUACGUAGGUGGCAAGCGUUAUCCGGAAUUAUUGGGCGUAAAGCGCGCGUAGGCGGUAAAAUAAGUCUGAUGUGAAAGCCCCCGGCUCAACCGGGGAGGGUCAUUGGAAACUGUUUUACUUGAGUACAGAAGAGGAGAGUGGAAUUCCAUGUGUAGCGGUGAAAUGCGCAGAGAUAUG
rnacentral:rRNA from 1 species